CCUACGGGGGGCAGCAGUGAGGAAUAUUGGUCAAUGGACGCAAGUCUGAACCAGCCAAGUAGCGUGAAGGAUGACUGCCCUAUGGGUUGUAAACUUCUUUUAUGAGGGAAUAAAACGAGGCACGUGUGCCUUUUUGCAUGUACUUUAUGAAUAAGGAUCGGCUAACUCCGUGCCAGCAGCCGCGGUAAUACGGAGGAUCCGAGCGUUAUCCGGAUUUAUUGGGUUUAAAGGGAGCGUAGAUGGGGUGUUAAGUCAGUUGUGAAAGUUUGCGGCUCAACCGUAAAAUUGCAGUUGAUACUGGCAGUCUUGAGUACAGUUGAGGUAUGCGGAAUUCGUGGUGUAGCGGUGAAAUGCUUAGAUAUCACGAAGAACCCUGAUUGCGAAGGCAGCUUACUAAACUGUGACUGACGUUGAGGCUCGAAAGUGUGGGUAUCGAACAGGAUUAGAUACCCCUGUAGUC
rnacentral:rRNA from 1 species